GUUACUACUAAUCGAACCUACACCAAUGGCCUUGUAUAGUCAAACUUUUACCAUAGUUUUAAUGUAUAGUCAAGUCAU
rnacentral:tRNA from 1 species